AAAUGAAUAGACGGGACCCCGCACAAGCAGCGGAGCGUGUGGUUUAAUUCGAUGAUACACGAAGAACCUUACCUGGGUUUGACAUGCAAGUGGUAGGAAACUGAAAGGGGACCGACCCUUCGGGGAGCUUGCACAGGUGCUGCAUGGCUGUCGUCAGCUCGUGUCGUGAGAUGUUCGGUUAAGUCCGCUAACGAGCGCAACCCUCGCCGUGUGUUACAAGUGUCACACGGGACCGCCGACGUCAAGUCGGAGGAAGGUGGGGAUGAUGUCAAGUCAGCAUGGCCUUUAUAUCCAGGGCUACACACACGCUACAAUGGUCAACACAAUAGGUUGCGAAACCGCGAGGUGGAGCCAAUCCCCAAAGUUGGCCUCAGUUCAGAUUGCAGGCUGCAACUCGCCUGCAUGAAGAUGGAGUUGCUAGUAACCGCAGGUCAGCACUACUGCGGUGAAUACGUUCCCGGGGUUUGUACACACCGCCCGU
rnacentral:rRNA from 1 species